GUAGGUGAACCUGCGGAAGGAUCAUUACAGAGUUCAUGCCCUCACGGGUAGACCUCCCACCCUUGAAUAUACUACCUUCGUUGCUUUGGCGAGCCGCUUCGGCUACCGACCUUGGUUGGUACGCGCUCGCCGGAGAACACCAAACUCUGAAUUAAUUUGUCGUCUGAGUACUAUAUAAUAGUUAAAACUUUCAACAACGGAUCUCUUGGUUCUG
rnacentral:misc_RNA from 1 species